GACAGAGGAGCCAAGCGUUGUCCGGACUGACUGGGCGUAAAGCGCACGCAGGCGGCGCUGCGCGUGGGGUGUGAAAGCUCUUGGCUUAACUGAGAGAGGCCAUCCCAUACGGCAGUGCUCGAGCGGUGCAGAGGUCCGCGGAAUUGCCGGUGUAGUGGUGAAAUGCGCAGAUAUCAGGAAGAACACCCGUGGCGAAGGCGGCUCUCUGGGACGGUACUGACGCUGAGACGCGAAAGCGUGGGGAGCGAACAGG
rnacentral:rRNA from 1 species